UACGGAAGGGGCAAGCGUUGUUCGGAAUCAUUGGGCGUAAAGGGCGCGUAGGUGGUUCUGUAUGUCUACCGUGAAAGCAUACAGCUCAACUGUAUUUUGUCGGUAGAAACUGCAGGACUUUGAGGCUGGGAGGGGCUGGUGGAAUUCCCUGUGUAGCGGUGAAAUGCGUAGAGAUGGGGGGAGAACACUCGUGGCGAAGGCGGCCAGCUAGACCAGUUCUGACACUGAGGCGCGACAGCGUGGGGGAGCAAACAGG
rnacentral:rRNA from 1 species